rnacentral:rRNA from 1 species
GACGAACGCUGGCGGCGUGCUUAACACAUGCAAGUCGAACGGUAAGGCCCUUCGGGGUACACGAGUGGCGAACGGGUGAGUAACACGUGGGUGAUCUGCCCUGCACUUCGGGAUAAGCCUGGGAAACUGGGUCCAAUACCGGAUAGGACCCUGGGAUGCAUGUCCUGGGGUGGCAAGCUUUUGCGGUGUGGGAUGGGCCCGCGGCCUAUCAGCUUGUUGGUGGGGUGAUGGCCUACCAAGGCGACGACGGGUAGCCGGCCUGAGAGGGUGACCGGCCACACUGGGACUGAGAUACGGGCCAGACUCCUACGGGAGGCAGCAGUGGGGAAUAUUGCACAAUGGGCGCAAGCCUGAUGCAGCGACGCCGCGUGAGGGAUGACGGCCUUCGGGUUGUAAACCUCUUUCAGCACCGACGAAGCGCAAGUGACGGUAGGUGCAGAAGAAGGACCGGCCAACUACGUGCCAGCCGCCGCAGUAA